CCUACGGGAGGCAGCAGUGGGGAAUCUUGCGCAAUGGGCGAAAGCCUGACGCAGCAACGCCGCGUGCGGGAAGAAGGCUUUCGGGCUGUAAACCGCUUUCAGCAGGAACGAAAAUGACGGUACCUGCAGAAGAAGGAGCGGCCAACUAUGUGCCAGCAGCCGCGGUGAUACAUAGGCUUCAAGCGUUGUCCGGAUUUAUUGGGCGUAAAGAGUUCGUAGGCGGUCGAGUAAGUCGGGUGUGAAAAUUCUGGGCUCAACCCAGAGACGCCACCCGAUACUGCUUGACUUGAGUUCGAUAGGGGAGUGGGGAAUUCCUAGUGUAGCGGUGAAAUGCGCAGAUAUUAGGAGGAACACCGGUGGCGAAGGCGCCACUCUGGAUCGAUACUGACGCUGAGGAACGAAAGCAUGGGUAGCAAACAGGAUUAGAUACCCUGGUAGUCCAUGCCGUAAACGGUGGGCACUAGGUGUGGGAUUCUAUUAACGAAUUCCGNGCCGUCGCUAACGCAUUAAGUGCCCCGCCUGGGGAGUACGGUCGCAAGCUAAAACUCAAAGGAAUUGACGGNNGAGAGUUGCGAGCGACGACGAGGGAGAG
rnacentral:rRNA from 1 species